rnacentral:rRNA from 1 species
CACGAACCGGAUUAGAUACCCGGGUAGUCCUAGGUGUAAACGCUGUGAACUUGGUGUCGGGAGUCCGCAAUGGGCCCCCGGUGCCGGAGUGAAGAUGUUAAGUUCACUGCCUGGGGAGUACGGUCGCAAGGCUGAAACUUAAAGGAAUUGGCGGGGGAGCACCGCAACGGGAGGAGCGUGCGGUUUAAUUGGAUUCAACGCCGGAAAACUCACCAGGGCCGACUGUUAUAUGAAGACCAGCGUAAUGAGCUUGUCGGAUUUUCAGAGAGGUGGUGCAUGGCCGUCGUCAGUUCGUACUGUAAAGCGUUCUGUUAAGUCAGAUAACGAACGAGACCCUCAUCUCUAUUUGCAACCUGUCUCUCCGGAGGCGGCGCACUAUAGAGAGACCGCUGGUGUGAAACCAGAGGAAGGCGAGGGCAACGACAGGUCAGUAUGCCCCGAAUGUCCUGGGCUACACGCGCGCUACAAAGGACGGGACAAUGGGAAGCUAGGCCGAGAGGCCACGCUAACCCGAAACCCGUUCAUAGUUCGGAUUGAGGGCUGUAACUCGCCCUCAUGAAGCUGGAUUCCG